rnacentral:tRNA from 1 species
CGUUCUAUUGCCGAUCGCCAAUCACAGGCGAAGGUGCGGGUUCGAAUCCCGCUGGAACGA